rnacentral:rRNA from 1 species
UCGAGAAUUUUUCUCAAUGGGGUAAACCCUGAAGGAGCGACGCCGCGUGGGGGAUGAAGGGCUUCGGCUCGUAAACCCCUGUCAUUUGUGAGCAAGUGUUAUUGUUUAAGGGAUGAUGACAUUGAUAGUAGCAAAAGAGGAAGGGACGGCUAACUCUGUGCCAGCAGCCGCGGUAAUACAGAGGUCCCAAGCGUUGUUCGGAAUCACUGGGCGUAAAGGGUGCGUAGGCGGUAUAGUAAGACUUGGGUGAAAUCUCCAUGCUUAACGUGGAGGGAGCCUGGGAGACUGCUGUGCUAGAGGAUUGGAAGGGAGACUGGAAUUCUUGGAGUAGCAGUGAAAUGCGUAGAUAUCAAGAGGAACACCAGUGGCGAAGGCGAGUCUCUGGACAAGACCUGACGCUGAGGCACGAAGGCCAGGGGAUCAAACGG